AGAGAGAGACAUGCGCGCAUAUCAAUAAGCGGAGGAAAAGAAACUAACAAGGAUUCCCUUAGUAACGGCGAGUGAAGCGGGAAGAGCUCAAAUUUGAAAUCUUCAAGGUUUUACCUUGACGAAUUGUAGUUUAAAGAAGUGUUUUCUGCUGAAGUUUUGGUAAAAGUUCUUUGGAAUAGGACAUCAUAGAGGGUGAGAAUCCCGUAUUUGACCAUUAUUUUCAGCUUUGUGAUACACUUUCAAAGAGUCGGAUUGUUUGGGAAUGCAGUCCAAAAUGGGUGGCAAAUUUCAUCUAAAGCUAAAUAUUGGCGAGAGACCGAUAGCGAACAAGUACCGUGAGGGAAAGAUGAAAAGAACUUUGAAAAGAGAGUUAAACAGUACGCUGAAAUUGUCAAAAGGGAAGCGUUCGACACCAGUGUUGUUUUCUCGAAAAUCAAUUAAAAAUGGCUCGAUUUUGUAUUGCUGAGACCUUAAAAGCUCACUGUACAUUUUUCGUGUCUUUUUUAAUGCACUUUUCGUUUAACAAGUCAACAUCAGUUUCUUUUGUUGUAAAAGGGUCAUUGGAAGGUGGCUUUCUUUUCGGAGAAAGUGUUUAUAGCCUUUGGCCUCUGCAAUCGAAGAGACUGAGGCCUGCAGCGUAGACUCUUCGGGGUUAGAUACAUUUGUGCUAAGUUAUAGCUUUUUAUAGGCAACUUGUUGACUAUAAUUAGUCUUGUAGCUUACUCGCUUAUGCUAUUUUACCUACGCUUAGGAUGUUGAGUCGUAGAGCACGCA
rnacentral:rRNA from 1 species